UUUUAAGUGCUUACUAUGUGCCAGGCCCUGAGCAAAGAAAGCACUAGGGAUACAAAUUCAAGCAAAAAGAGAAGCCCUGUCUUCAGAGAACUCACAUUCUAACGGGAAAAACAACACAUAAAAGGAAGCUGAAAAGCAAGAAGGAAAGGGGCAUAGGAAAAGGAAGCGGUGGAGUCCGGAGAAUGAAGGAUGGCUGAUUCAAUACUAUCUCGGGUGGCACUGGAGAGGGUUUGCACCUUCCUGUUGGUGCUCCUCUUUGAAGGUUCUUUGGACGAAGUUGCUCUUUCCCCUGAAGCUCUAUCCAGGCAUCACUGGUUACACUGGUCAGGUCUGGGAGACCUCUGCUCUACUUCCUGUGGCUUAGUUUCAGAGUUCUGCUGCCCACCUGCACUUUACAUUUGCCAGCUCUCCUGCUGCCCCACUCCGAGGACUUCUUGGACUGCUACGCAAAUCUGCCCUCCCCUUUAAACUAUUCAAAUGAGUUUGUCUUCAAUCCCCACCCAGAGUUAUAGAGAGACUAUAAUGUUGGCUUCCCCCCUUUCAUCAGGACAUUGUCACUUUUUAACUCAUAUUAACUAAACUUCCCCUCAAUAUACCACAGAGCCUGGAAGAAUAUGCUCACUCUCUCCCAGAUUCCUCUUCCUUCUCUAUCUUCCCUCAGGGAAAUUAGGUUAUUCAAAUUACCUUUGGGCUGCUUUGUGAAAAAACUCUAAAAGGAAGGCUGUAAAAGGGAAGAGUCAGUAGCUCCCACCUUGGGUACUACAUGGAGAGAAGAUCCGUAAUCCUUACUAUAGAAUUAUUACUAUUAUUAUUAUAAAGAGGGGAGUAUUUGUCAUAGGUAGAUAUAAAAAUUUAUCUACAAGCACAGAUCCCUCAUGUUUUUCUCUUCUGGCAACAGGUCUUCCUUCCCCUUCUACACCUACUCCUUUGGGCUUGAGUCUAUAUCUAUCCUGAGACCAGUUUUCACCAAGUAUAGACAGGAACACUUUGGGUUGUGGGGAGAGGAAUGGGCUCCCAAACCAAGGUAACAGCCUCAGUGUCAGAAAAGGGACCCUAUUCUCCAGAAUCUGAGCAAAUCAUUAAGUUCAAACUUCCAUCCCUUCAAAGUAUCAUCUUGAUUCAAGAUUCUACUCAGGUACCACUUCCUUCAUGAAGUUGUCCUUUGUUCCUCAAAAAAGAAAAAAAGAGAAGCAAUCCAUCUCUCCUUCCUUAAAUUUUCCUAAAAUAAUAUGACUAGAUCUACCUUGUCUGACAUUCUAUCUUAAUUUAUACUGAUUUAAAUGUAUGAUCUAUCCUACCUAUUAAACUAUAAACUCUCUGAGGUUGGAAACUGCCA